rnacentral:rRNA from 1 species
UCCUACCGGAGGCAGCAGUGGGGAACUUGGACAAGGGGGGAAAGCCGGAUCCAGCAAUGCCGCGCGGGUGAAGAAGGCCUUCGGGUGUAAAGCAAUUUUGUCUGGAGGGAAGUCAAGGUCUUUAACACCGAGGGGAAGACGUACCGGAAGAAUAAGCACGGCUAUUUUG